UCAGUCUCUCUCUCGCAGUUUCUCUCUCGAUCAAAGUCUAUUGAUAAAAGGAAGGAGAAUGUCCUGUUUAUGCUAUGGAAUCAAAGGCGAUUGGGUCGGAGGAGAUCCGAAUCGGAGAGGAUUUAAUCUGGGGAGGCGAAAUUUUAGCUCUAUGAAAUUUUGGCCAUGUUUAUAAAGCAAGAGAGAAACGGGUUUACGUUCUGCUCUUACAUUGAACCUUCUGUGCUUUGUGUUUUUCCUUCCCGUGAACACGUUUUGUGUUUUUCUUUUCACAAUUGUUGUUCAAUAAACUUGUAUAUGUAGCAAACUAGAAUCGGCUACUCUUGAUUGUAAGCACUCUCAUAUAUCUUUUAUUUCACUUGUUGUCCAAUUCACUUUCUGUCUUAUCAAACACUCUAUAUCUUUUA